GAUAAGUGGAGCUCCCUUCAAUCCAAGAAAUGCGUGUUUAGUGACAGUACAUCUCCUGCGUCAUGCACACCACUAUCCUGUCAUGCAGGUCGAUUGAUUGAUUUGUUCAGGCUGCUGGAGAGUCACGGACAGGGAAGUAGAAUGCAUGAAUCAGCAGCUGAACCACCGCUGCACAAGCUUUGGUUGGACUGAAGGGAGCUCCAACA
rnacentral:pre_miRNA from 1 species